rnacentral:rRNA from 1 species
UACGAAGGGGGCUAGCGUUGCUCGGAAUCACUGGGCGUAAAGCGCACGUAGGCGGAUUGCUAAGUCAGGGGUGAAAUCCUGGAGCUCAACUCCAGAACUGCCUUUGAUACUGGCGACCUUGAGUCCGGGAGAGGUGAGUGGAACUGCGAGUGUAGAGGUGAAAUUCGUAGAUAUUCGCAAGAACACCAGUGGCGAAGGCGGCUCACUGGCCCGACACUGACGCUGAGGCGCGAAAGCUAGGGAGCAAACGGG